UGUAGUCUCAUAUUCUCAACAGAGGAACACAAUUCUGUCUACUGAGGUCAUGGUUUAUUCUUGUUGGAACAGACAUCAAGAGAAACAGAUCACUCCCUGGCACACUCCAUACUGUUUCAAGCCUGUGCAAUUAAGGAAUUCUUUAGCAGAACAAAAACUGAGUCCUUUUUCUGAAACAUGUUGUCUUCAGAGCUUGUACAAAGUAACCAUGGAUAUCAUCAAAGAGCCUCUGCAGCUAUACACAGGACAGUAUCAUCUGCAAAUAAAAGCUUCUAGAGAAUC